rnacentral:rRNA from 1 species
GCCCAGAUUCCUACGGAGGCAGCAGUAGGAAUCUUCCACAAGGACGAAAGUCUGAUGGAGCAACGCCGCGUGAGUGAAGAAGGUUUUCGGAUCGUAAAACUCUGUUGUGGAGAAGAAUGUAUCUGAUAGUAACUGAUCAGGUAGUGACGGUAUCCAACCAGAAAGCCACGGCUAACUACGUGCCAGCAGCCGCGGUAAUACGUAGGUGGCAAGCGUUGUCCGGAUUUAUUGGGCGUAAAGCGAGCGCAGGCGGUUUCUUAAGUCUGAUGUGAAAGCCUUCGGCUCAACCGAAGAAGUGCAUCGGAAACUGGGAAACUUGAGUGCAGAAGAGGACAGUGGAACUCCAUGUGUAGCGGUGAAAUGCGUAGAUAUAUGGAAGAACACCAGUGGCGAAGGCGGCUGUCUGGUCUGUAACUGACGCUGAGGCUCGAAAGCAUGGGUAGCAAACAGGAUUAGAUACCCUGGUAGUCCAUGCCGUAAACGAUGAGUGCUAGGUGUUGGAGGGUUUCCGCCCUUCAGUGCCGCAGCUAACGCAUUAAGCACUCCGCCUGGGGAGUACGACCGCAAGGUUGAAACUCAAAGGAAUUGACGGGGGCCCGCACAAGCGGUGGAGCAUGUGGUUUAAUUCGAAGCAACGCGAAGAACCUUACCAGGUCUUGACAUCCUUUGACCACUCUAGAGAUAGAGCUUUCCCUUCGGGGACAAAGUGACAGGUGGUGCAUGGUUGUCGUCAGCUCGUGUCGUGAGAUGUUGGGUUAAGUCCCGCAACGAGCGCAACCCUUAUUACUAGUUGCCAGCAUUUAGUUGGGCACUCUAGUGAGACUGCCGGUGACAAACCGGAGGAAGGUGGGGACGACGUCAAAUCAUCAUGCCCCUUAUGACCUGGGCUACACACGUGCUACAAUGGAUGGUACAACGAGUUGCGAGACCGCGAGGUUUAGCUAAUCUCUUAAAACCAUUCUCAGUUCGGAUUGUAGGCUGCAACUCGCCUACAUGAAGCCGGAAUCGCUAGUAAUCGCGGAUCAGCAUGCCGCGGUGAAUACGUUCCCGGGCCUUGUACACACCGCCCGUCACACCAUGAGAGUUUGUAACACCCAAAGCCGGUGAGGUAACCCUUCGGGAGCCAGCCGUCUAAG